GAUCUUUAUAUAUUAAUAAUUUAAUAAAAAUUAGUUUUAUUUUAUUUUAAUUUAUUAAUAUAUUAUAUUGGGGUAAUAAUAAAAUUUAAUAAAUUUUUAUUUUUUUUAUACAAAUAUAAUUGAUUUUUAUUGAUCCAGUAAUAUUGAUUAAAAAAUUAAGUUACCUUAGGGAUAACAGCAUAAUGAUUUUUGAGAGUUCUUAUUGAUAAAAUAGAUUGU
rnacentral:rRNA from 1 species